GACGAACGCUGGCGGCGUGCUUAACACAUGCAAGUCGAACGGAAAGGCCCUGCUUUUGUGGGGUGCUCGAGUGGCGAACGGGUGAGUAACACGUGAGUAACCUGCCCUUGACUUUGGGAUAACUUCAGGAAACUGGGGCUAAUACCGGAUAGGAGCUCCUGCUGCAUGGUGGGGGUUGGAAAGUUUCGGCGGUUGGGGAUGGACUCGCGGGUUAUCAGCUUGUUGGUGGGGUAGUGGUUGACCAAGGCUUUGACGGGUAGCCGGCCUGAGAGGGUGACCGGCCUCAUUGGGACUGAGAUACGGACCAGACUCCUACGGGAGGCAGCAGUGGGGAAUAUUGCACAAUGGGCGGAAGCCUGAUGCAGCGACGCCGCGUGCGGGAUGACGGCCUUCGGGUUGUAAACCGAUUUCGCCUGUGACGAAGCGUGAGUGACGGUAAUGGGUAAAGAAGCACCGGCUAACUACGUG
rnacentral:rRNA from 1 species